GGCUCCAUAGCUCAGUGGUUAGAGUACUGGUCUUGUAAAUCGGGGGUCAUAAGUUCAAUCCUUGCUGGGGCCU